ACGGAAGGUCCGGGCGUUAUCCGGAUUUAUUGGGUUUAAAGGGAGCGUAGGCCGUCUUAUAAGCGUGUUGUGAAAUGUCGGGGCUCAACCUGGGCAUUGCAGCGCGAACUGUGAGACUUGAGUGCGCAGGAAGUAGGCGGAAUUCGUCGUGUAGCGGUGAAAUGCUUAGAUAUGACGAAGAACUCCGAUUGCGAAGGCAGCCUGCUGUAGCGCAACUGACGCUGAAGCUCGAAAGCGUGGGUAUCGAACAG
rnacentral:rRNA from 1 species